rnacentral:sRNA from 1 species
UAGUCUGAUGAAGUUCUGCGUGUAUCUACAGAACAAGUACAGCACAGCAGCCGCAGUGCAAGCUUCACUUAUGCUACCUUACCGCUGCAUCUUGUUCCUGUACCAACAGUGGUAAUGCAGGUGGCGUGGGGCCACUAACUGAAAAUAAU